GCAGGCUGAACUGGCUCUCUGGAUGUCUGUGUGCAAAAUGGGAGCACUCAGUCUGCAAACAAAUGGAGUUCAGAAUAAGAUCCCCACUGGGACAAAAAUCCAAACAACAAAACACAAAAGAUAACUAGAGAGAGUACAGCAUACACUUGGACAACAUAACAUCUGUAUAGAGCUUCUCUGCUGCCUCUGUAUGAUUACAGCUCUCGAUUCAUUGUUGCUGCUUCUUGACUAAAUGAUUUGAUGUUU